UUGAACGCUGGCGGCAGGCCUAACACAUGCAAGUCGAGCGGAUGAAGGGAGCUUGCUCCUGGAUUCAGCGGCGGACGGGUGAGUAAUGCCUAGGAAUCUGCCUGGUAGUGGGGGAUAACGUCCGGAAACGGGCGCUAAUACCGCAUACGUCCUGAGGGAGAAAGUGGGGGAUCUUCGGACCUCACGCUAUCAGAUGAGCCUAGGUCGGAUUAGCUAGUUGGUGGGGUAAAGGCCUACCAAGGCGACGAUCCGUAACUGGUCUGAGUGGAUGAUCAGUCACACUGGAACUGAGACACGGUCCAGACUCCUACGGGAGGCAGCAGUGGGGAAUAUUGGACAAUGGGCGAAAGCCUGAUCCAGCCAUGCCGCGUGUGUGAAGAAGGUCUUCGGAUUGUAAAGCACUUUAAGUUGGGAGGAAGGGCAGUAAGUUAAUACCUUGCUGUUUUGACGUUACCAACAGAAUAAGCACCGGCUAACUUCGUG
rnacentral:rRNA from 1 species